rnacentral:rRNA from 1 species
AGCAGUAGCCGCGGGAAUACGUAGGUGGCAAGCGUUAUCCGGAAUUAUUGGGCGUAAAGCGCGCGUAGGCGGUUUUUUAAGUCUGAUGUGAAAGCCCACGGCUCAACCGUGGAGGGUCAUUGGAAACUGGAAAACUUGAGUGCAGAAGAGGAAAGUGGAAUUCCAUGUGUAGCGGUGAAAUGCGCAGAGAUAUGGAGGAACACCAGUGGCGAAGGCGACUUUCUGGUCUGUAACUGACGCUGAUGUGCGAAAGCGUGGGGAUCAAACAGGAUUAGAUACCCCUGUAGUCCCUGUCUCUUAUAC